UACGGGGGGGGGCAAGCGUUGUUCGGAAUUACUGGGCGUAAAGGGCUCGUAGGCGGCCAACUAAGUCGGAUGUGAAAUCCCCAAGCUUAACUUGGGAACUGCAUCCGAUACUGGAUGGCUUAAAUCCGGGAGAGGGAUGCAGAAUUCCAGGUGUAGCGGUGAAAUGCGUAGAUAUCUGGAGGAAUACCGGUGGCGAAGGCGGCAUCCUGGACCGGCAUUGACGCUGAGGAGCGAAAGCUAGGGGAGCAAACGGG
rnacentral:rRNA from 1 species